UAAGUUGAACUGAGGGGUGACGGAGAAGGUUAACUGAGCUGCUGCGGUGGAUGGCAGUCUAAAGCCGUAGGGGUGCUGGGUACGAUAAAAGGCCUGGCAGUUAUCUCCGAAAGCUGAAUGCGAAGGCGCAAGCCUAGAGUCAGUGAUACCCCGCUCCCAAGAAAAACCUCGCAGGGAUUCCGUAGGUCGUCCGUACCGUAAACCGACACAGGUGGGUGAGGCGAGUAGCCUAAGGGGCCCGAGAGAACUCUCCUCCAAGGAACUAGGCAAAUUGACACCGUAACUUCGGAAGAAGGUGUGCCCUCGGUAGGUGUUAAAGCCGAUGAGGGUCGCAGAGAAUAGGGGGUAGCGACUGUUUACCAAAAACACAGGACUCUGCGAAGGCGAGAAGCCGACGUAUAGGGUCUGACUCCUGCCCGGUGCUGGAAGGUUAAGGGGAUCCGUCAGCGCAAGCGAAGCGGUGAUCCGAAGCCCCAGUAAACGGCGGCCGUAACAAUAACGGUCCUAAGGUAGCGAAAUUCCUUGUCGGGUAAGUUCCGACCUGCACGAAAGGAGUAACGACUUCCCCGCUGUCUCGGAGAGGGACUCGGCGAAAUUGAAAUAGCUGUGCCGAUGCUGUUUACCCGCGGAAAGACGGAAAGACCCCGUGAACCUUUACUACAACUUGACAGUGACACUAGGGAUUGGCUGUGUAGCAUAGGUGGGAGCCUUUGAAGCUGGGCCGCUAGGUUCAGUGGAGGCGUCAGUGAAAUACCACCCUGCUGGUUUCUGGUGUCUAACCGCAUCCCGUCAUCCGGGAUCGGGACACUGUCUGGUGGGUAGUUUGACUGGGGCGGUCGCCUCCCAAAGAGUAACGGAGGCGCGCGAUGGUUCCCUCAGCCUGAUUGGAAACCAGGCGUCGAGUGCAAUGGCAUAAGGGAGCUUGACUGCAAGAGCGACGGCUCGAGCAGGUGCGAAAGCAGGUCAUAGUGAUCCGGUGGUUCUGAAUGGAAGGGCAUCGCUCAACGGAUAAAAGGUACUCCGGGGAUAGCAGGCUUAUCUCCUCCAAGAGUUCACAUCGACGAGGAGGUUUGGCACCUCGAUGUCGGCUCAUCGCAUCCUGGGGCUGGAGCAGGUCCCAAGGGUUUGGCUGUUCGCCAAUUAAAGCGGUACGCGAGCUGGGUUCAAAACGUCGUGAGACAGUUUGGUCCCUAUCUUCCGUGGGCGUAGGAGGCUUGAGAGGAUCUGACCUUAGUACGAGAGGACCGGGUUGGACGCACCUCUGGUGUACCAGUUGUCACGCCAGUGGCAUCGCUGGGUAGCCAUGUGCGGAUUGGAUAACCGCUGAAAGCAUCUAAGCGGGAAACCGACCUCAAGAUUUGGCCUCCCGGGGGCAACCCCCUGAAGACCCGAUGGAGACUACGUCGUUGAUAGGCCGGAUGUGUAAGC
rnacentral:rRNA from 1 species